rnacentral:misc_RNA from 1 species
GAAUAGAAAGCAUAAAAUUCCACCUGCCAGGAUUAAGUUUGUCACUCAGCUAAAAAUAUCGAAUGAGCAUGAACAGUAAAUACAUCAAAUCUAGUUUAGUAGACAAGUUAAACUACUUAAAGGCUCUAGUACAAACUACCCUCCAAGUAAAGCUUUCUGAAAAACCCUGAUUAGAGAUGAAAUAAGACAUAAGUUAUUUGUAACUGUGCUAAAUGGAAAACCAAAUGAAUGAGUGAUCUAGCUUGUAUGCAAUAAAAGACAAGACACCAAAUUCAUAACCCCUUUCAAACUGAUAAAUAUGAGCUAUUUUUCCAUCCUUAAUGUAGUCUUAGAACCACAUAAGUAUAUGGUUUUAGAGGAGCAUUCUUUUUAAUGCUCAAUUCUUUAAAAUUAGGAAAAGUGAAACUAAAUGACUAUUCAUUAAUCACUAGAAUCACAAACCAACGAUUGCCCAGAUAAUCAACUGUUUGCAAUACAGUAAUGGAUCUGUUUUAUUCAACAAAGAGGUCAUUUAUGAAAAUUAAAAAUUCUGAGAAAAGUAUUAUGAACCAACCAACCAGAAUC